CAAACACACUUGCGUCACAAAAACACAGAUAAUAGAAAGAUAGAGUUAUUUUAGAGAGAGAGAGAGAAGAGAGAUACGGUGGAAGGACCAUGGUUUCUAGUGGUGAACCCGGCUGCGCACGGCAGCCCUCUCACUUCCGACGCAUAAACGACCGCCAUGGCGGCGGUGAGUUGUAGAGUUGUACUUCAGGUGAAGUCCGGCCAGUCUCCGGCGAAGAUCCGGUAAGUAUUUUAUUGUACUGCAUGUUAAAUUUUCAGUUAGAUCUGCUCUUGAUUUGUUGUUUGAGACUUUUUUUGGUAAUACAUAAUUCCGGCAAGAAUCCGGUCAAGUUACGACCAAGGUCCGAUGAACGAAAGUCUACCUUCAUGUCUUGGAUCAUAAUCUGGGUAUAAUUUUGGUAGAUCGGGUAUGGAGCUCAUGGCUUGUAUUGGCGGCUAGCGUUCCAGUUUAGGGGUUUUGAAACCAGAUCGUGUUUGGAGACAACCUUCACGAUGUGUUAGUGUUUUGUGCAUAGGGACUUCCAGUUUCACAACCCAAAAUAACCCUAAACGUCGUGAGCGAACCGACCACCAUCGUCCUCCUCUUACGGUUCAUCUUCUUCGUCUUUCCACGACUAUGAGAUACUAUAGUUGGAGAACUUUCGGCCGACAAAGUCAAAUACAAACUCAAAUACAUCGUCGGAAACGCUAAUGUAGUCUACAGGCUCAAAGUAAUCGCACGUGAUAAUAACAUGCCAACAUCUUAGUUGUAAGUGCUCAACCCUAAUUUUAUGCUCAAAUACAACAAAAUGAUUGAUCCCUUGCAGACAACAAGAGGCGAUGAGCAGUCUUGCAUAUCCCGUGUUUUCUACAACUUUACAAGAAGCAAGGUAUGAAUUUUUCUUUAAUUGUUUUGUGUUUUUUAGAUAAUAUUUGCAAAAUGCCAUGGUUUAUUUGAAUAUGCACAAUGUAUGUUUGAUUUGGUGAGUAAAUUGUGUUAAGAAGUUGGCCACUUGAUGGAAGAUAAUUUUUGAUUUGCAAACAACAAUCGAGUGUGAUAAAUAUGAUUUUUAUGUUGAUAGGAACUUAAAAGUGACACUUACGGAUAAUAUGUUGGGAGAUUAAAAAUGAUCUGAUAUAUACAAAUUUCUCCAUGUUUAUAUUAUGAAUUAUCAUGGUCUUUCAAACACAAACAUGAAAUGGUAAGUUAUAAGGUUGAUGUUUGUAAAAGUGCAGAUACAUGUCAUGAAAUAUUGAAGGGAAUACCAAGAAAAAAAAUUGAUAGACUGAUAAAUGGUUGGGUGGCUGAAUGUAUAUGGUCGUAAAGGGGUAUGGUUGUAAAAAGUGUUUACGAGAUAUUUUACUUUUUAGAAAAUGGCGAAGGCUCGAUCAAGAGUAAUGGAUAAACGAAAGAAGGGUGCUGCAUGUGAAAGCACAUUUGGCUUUAGAAAGCGCGCCUGAGGCGCGCCAUCAGGUGCAGAAUGCUACAGUUUACUUAACAAUAGGUGGAUGUUUUCUAGAAAGCAAGAAUUUCUUCGCCUUUUAUGUCGGGUACUGAAUCGAUUAAGCGCGUGCUUUAUUGUCAGGUAACACGAAUGACGGCGUGCACAAAUGUAGAUGGAGAAUAUUAACAUAGAUGAUAGGCCAUUGUAAUCAAGCUGUAUAAAGCCAAAAAAAUGUCAUAUUAUUCCACUGUAAAUCUUAAAUACAUCUUUCAACCUGUUCAAAUUUGUAUAUCAUGUUUUUUUGGAUGUGUUUUACAUUAACAUGUUCAAAUUUGUAUAUCAUGUUUUUUUGGAUGUGUUUUACAUGGAAAGUGCAGUUUGAGCUACAUUACAUGAUUUGGUAUUGUGGAAGUCGAGCUUCGCAAAUCAAAGAGAUGUGGGCUAAAGGAUAAAUGUCUUGAUGAUAUACUGUUAUACUUGCACCAAUCUUGAAGGUUGUUUUAAGUUGUGAAUCAUUUAUUAAUGGAUUGUACAAAUGACGAGCAGACAUACUUAUUGUAUUAUAUGCAUGUUUGCGGAGUCUUGACUGCUGCUCCAUUCCAUGCAAGCCCACCACUCUACUCAUGAGAGAUGGGUUCACUUUACUGUCACUGGUGGUUAGCGGGUUGACACAACAAGGAAGCCUUGAUGCUUGGGUAUGGUUAGAUAUUUAGAUUAGAGCAGUUUAUGUAGUGGUAAGUUGGAUUAGAGGAGGCAGUUUUUUUUUGUUUAAAAUAGCAGAGGUUAGAGAGCAAUUUAUUUUAUUUAUUAUGACAGACAUCUGUUAAUUUUGAUUUUUGUUUAUGACUUUGUAUAAUAAACCAAAUCACAAUAGAGUCACUUACGCA